GACGAACGCUGGCGGCGUGCUUAACACAUGCAAGUCGAACGGAAAGGCCCUGCUUUUGUGGGGUGCUCGAGUGGCGAACGGGUGAGUAACACGUGAGUAACCUGCCCUUGACUUUGGGAUAACUUCAGGAAACUGGGGCUAAUACCGGAUAGGAGCUCCUGCUGCAUGGUGGGGGUUGGAAAGUUUCGGCGGUUGGGGAUGGACUCGCGGCUUAUCAGCUUGUUGGUGGGGUAGUGGCUUACCAAGGCUUUGACGGGUAGCCGGCCUGAGAGGGUGACCGGCCACAUUGGGACUGAGAUAAGGCCCAGACUACUACGGGAGGCAACAGUGGGGAAUAUUGCACAAUGGGCGGAAGCCUGAUGCAGCAACGCCGCGUGCGGGAUGACGGCCUUCGGGUUGUAAACCGCUUUCGCCUGUGACGAAGCGUGAGUGACGGUAAUGGGUAAAGAAGCACCGGCUAACUACGUG
rnacentral:rRNA from 1 species